ACUUUUACUCCGAAGAGUGUUGGAGACGUAUAUCCUUGGUGACUAUUUAUUUCAAACAAUCUAGGCUUUAUAACAAAUUCUGAUGUCUCACCCUUUGUUUUUGGAGCAGAUGCUCUGCUUGUUGUUUUGAUUAUCCAGUGAUUAUCUGAAAUACCACUGAAAGGUGCUUGAAUGGAAUACCAGAUGUCGGGAGUGUGCUGAGAAAUUGACUGUUGUGGAGAAAUAUGUUCAGUUCACCUGCAUUUGUGACAUUCCCAUUAUUGAUGAACUGUUUAUGGAUUAAUGAAUGUGAUACGCACCAGUCAAAUCUAACGUGAUGUCACCAUGACCAACCAAUUGUUACUCUGUUAUUAAGAUCUGUUAUAUUUUUUUAACCACAAAUAUUUUUAUAUGCAUAUUUUUCAUUAUUCAUUAAAGAAUAUUACAUAGCUU
rnacentral:misc_RNA from 1 species